rnacentral:rRNA from 1 species
UACGUAGGGUGCGAGCGUUGUCCGGAUUUAUUGGGCGUAAAGGGCUCGUAGGCGGCGUGUCGCGUCGGGAGUGAAAGACCGGGGCUUAACCCCGGUUCUGCUUCCGGUACGGGCAUGCUGGAGUGUGGCAGGGGAGACUGGAAUUCCCGGUGUAGCGGUGGAAUGCGCAGAUAUCAGGAGGAACACCGGUGGCGAAGGCGGGUCUCUGGGCCAUUACUGACGCUGAGGAGCGAAAGCGUGGGGAGCGAACAGG